rnacentral:rRNA from 1 species
AUGAAAAUCCUAGGCUGGAACUGCCGUGGUAUGCUCUUCAACACGGCAGUUCGUGAGCUUCUGGAUCUACAGAAGCGUACAAGGGCAGAUUUAAUUUUCCUUUCUGAAUCCCAUUUGAAUAAUUGUAAAGCCGAUGAGCUUCGUCGCGUAUUAGGUUUUGAUUCUAUGUUUGUAGUGGAAAGUGAUGGUAAGGCCGGUGGCCUCGCUUUGUUUUAUCAUGAG